UAAAAAUUUGAUUUUAGUUUUUAUAUUUGAUUUAUAUUUUUAUUAUAUGUAAAUUUUUGUUAAUAAUUUUUUAAAUAGGAAAAUAAUAGCAAUAAUUAAAUUUAUACAAUAAAAGAAAUUUUGAUAUAGGGAUAUAUAAGAGUAUUAGUAAAAUUUGUGCCAGCAACUGCGGUUAUACAAAUAAUACAAUUAAAUAAAUAAUUUAAUAAUAAUAAAUAGUUAAAAUUUUAAUUUGAAAUUAAGUUUAUUAGGUGAAAUUAGAAAUUUAGAUUAGAUUAAUUAUAUUAAUUAUGAUGUUAUGAAAUUUUUAUAAUAAACUAGGAUUAGAUACCCUAUUAUAAAAAAUGUAAAGUUUAUGUUAGGGGAGUAUUAGUUAUGGUCUUGAAAUUUAAAAAAUUUGGCGGUAUUUUAGUCUUUUCAGAGGAACCUGUCCUUUAAUCGAUAAUCCACGAUUAAUUUUACUUAUCUUUCAAGUUUAUAUAUCGUCGUAAUUUGAAUAUCUUAUAAGAGUAAAAAUAUUCAGAAUUUAAAAUUAUAAAGAAAAUCAGAUCAAGGUAUAGCUUAUAGGUAAGGAGUGAUGGGUUACAAUAAAUUUAUUUAGAUGGUUAUAAUAUUUAAAAUUAUUAUAUAAAGUGGAUUUGAAAGUAAUAUAUUUUAUUUAAAAUAUAUGAUUUUAGCUCUAAAAUAUGCACAUAUCGCCCGUCACUUUCAUUGAAGUUAAAGUGAAAUAAGUCGUAACAAAGUAGGCUUACUGGAAAGUGUGCCUGGAUAGCA
rnacentral:ncRNA from 1 species